UACGUAGGGACCAAGCGUUGUUCGGAUUUACUGGGCGUAAAGGGCGCGUAGGCGGCGUGUUAAGUCAGCUGUGAAAUCUCCGAGCUUAACUCGGAACGGUCAGCUGAUACUGAUGUGCUAGAGUGCAGAAGGGGCAAUCGGAAUUCUUGGUGUAGCGGUGAAAUGCGUAGAUAUCGAGAGGAACACCUGCGGCGAAGGCGGGUUGCUGGGCUGACACUGACGCUGACAGCGCGAAAGCUAGGGGAGCGAACGGG
rnacentral:rRNA from 1 species